rnacentral:lncRNA from 1 species
CUUUGUCCUUGGGCCUGUGCUCUCCUCACAUGGAGGCUGAUGAAUCUGGAAAGAAACACACCAGUUGGUAUUACUUUCCGGAGGCGCUUGAAGAGGGAAAGCGGGAACAAGUAUAAAAUGUUCCUCCUGUCUCACGACUCUGUCAGGGUCUUGGGAAAAUGAACCUGUGGAAGACAAUGGGAAAUCCUAGCAAAUGAGGCAAAAGGUUCCUGAGUUUGGGGGAGAACACUGCCUACCACUGGCCCCGUUAGAGGGAGGUUCCCGCCAAGCCCGCUGUUCCUGCUGGGACCUGUUCAAGGACAGCAAACAUGGUUUCCAGGACUGGAAAGGUCUGAAAAACAGAUUUGUUCCAGAUACUGAUUUGGUGAACCCAGCCUUGCACACCCAGAGGACAACUUUGAGGCACUGCUGUGGUCUUCUUCAUCAUAGAUUUAGAGAAGGUAGGA